AUUGAACGCUGGCGGCAGGCCUAACACAUGCAAGUCGAACGGUAACAGGAAGAAGCUUGCUUCUUUGCUGACGAGUGGCGGACGGGUGAGUAAUGUCUGGGAAACUGCCUGAUGGAGGGGGAUAACUACUGGAAACGGUAGCUAAUACCGCAUAACGUCGCAAGACCAAAGAGGGGGACCUUCGGGCCUCUUGCCAUCGGAUGUGCCCAGAUGGGAUAAGCUAGUAGGUGGGGUAACGGCCCACCUAGGCCACGAUCCCUAGCCGGUCUGAGAGGAUGGCCCGGCAAAAGGGAACUUAGGCACGGUCCAAAAGCCUGCGGGAGGGAAAAGAGGGGAAAUAUGGCAAAAGGGGGAAAAGCUGGAGCAACCAACGCCGGUGGAUUAAGAAAGCCCUGGGGUUGUAAAAUACUUUACGGCGGGGAGAAAGGAGUAAAGUUAAGACCUUUACUCAUUGACGUUACCCGCAGAAGAAGCACGGGCUAACUCCGU
rnacentral:rRNA from 1 species